CACGUAGGGCGCAAGCGUUGUCCGGAAUUAUUGGGCGUAAAGAGCUCGUAGGCGGUCUGUUGCGUCCGCUGUGAAAACUCGGGGCUUAACCCCGAGCCUGCAGUGGGUACGGGCAGACUAGAGUGAUGUAGGGGAGACUGGAAUUCCUGGUGUAGCGGUGAAAUGCGCAGAUAUCAGGAGGAACACCGAUGGCGAAGGCAGGUCUCUGGGCAUUAACUGACGCUGAGGAGCGAAAGCAUGGGGAGCGAACAGG
rnacentral:rRNA from 1 species